rnacentral:rRNA from 1 species
CGGGGGGCAGCAGUAGGGAAUCUUCCGCAAUGGACGAAAGUCUGACGGAGCAACGCCGCGUGAGUGAAGAAGGCCUUCGGGUCGUAAAACUCUGUUGCCGGGGAAGAACAAGUGCCGUUCGAACAGGGCGGCGCCUUGACGGUACCCGGCCAGAAAGCCACGGCUAACUACGUGCCAGCAGCCGCGGUAAUACGUAGGUGGCAAGCGUUGUCCGGAAUUAUUGGGCGUAAAGCGCGCGCAGGCGGCUUCUUAAGUCUGAUGUGAAAUCUUGCGGCUCAACCGCAAGCGGUCAUUGGAAACUGGGAGGCUUGAGUGCAGAAGAGGAGAGUGGAAUUCCACGUGUAGCGGUGAAAUGCGUAGAGAUGUGGAGGAACACCAGUGGCGAAGGCGGCUCUCUGGUCUGUAACUGACGCUGAGGCGCGAAAGCGUGGGGAGCAAACAGGAUUAGAUACCCGAGU